UACGUAGGGUGCGAGCGUUAAUCGGAAUUACUGGGCGUAAAGCGUGCGCAGGCGGUUUUGUAAGUCAGAUGUGAAAGCCCCCGGGCUUAACCUGGGAAUGGCGUUUGAAACUACAAGGCUAGAGUGUGUCAGAGGGGGUAGAAUUCCACGUGUAGCAGUGAAAUGCGUAGAGAUGUGGAGGAAUACCGAUGGCGAAGGCAGCCCCCUGGGAUAACUCUGACGCUCAUGCACGAAAGCGUGGGGAGGCAAACAGGAUUAGAUACCCGCGUAGU
rnacentral:rRNA from 1 species